rnacentral:pre_miRNA from 1 species
AGUGGAAUAGCUGGGUCAAAUGGUGGUUGCAUUCCAAGUUUUCCAGGGAAUCUCCAUACUGCUUUUCAUAUUGGCUGUACCAGUUUGCAGUCCCAUUAGCAAU